CCGCAGGAAACUAAAGCCAAACAAAAAAAACCUGGCAAACUGAGCACUCAUGGAGAUACUGACUUCUCAACCAACACAUAUGGAACCAGUGUUUGGGGCGGCUCUUCUUCAAAAGCUGCUAGCACAGUGAACCCAGGGGGGACAGGAAAGAGCUCACUGGUCAGUGUCACAGACUGGGAUGAUGACGAUGAUGAACUUGGCCUGGAUGACCUCUGACCUUCAUGCAGUUGACCCUUGACCUUCAUGCACAUGACCUCUGACCUUCAUAUGGUCGGCCCUUGACCUUCAUGCAGCCAAAUUCUGAUUUUGAAGAGAUCCAAAUGAACAACAUGACUUCUUAUAAGUGGCUAAAUACUAUUUGACCACUAAAUGGACAUUUUGGAUCAAAAGAGGCCAAGUCUGUGAGGUUAGGGAUUUUACUGCACCAAAUGUCAGUUUAAUUGAAGCUGUGCCAAAGAAAUUUUGUAAAUCGUGGAAACUGCUGAGACUGAAGGGCAAAGUUAAAGUUUCUGUAAAUCUUAGAAAGCUUUAAAGUGCUGUAAGUAUGUUUUACUAUACAUGUGAAGAUAUGCAGACCCAUCAAGUCUCAUCUUUGAGGGGACAUCACUGUUUGCUUGAAUAAAAAAGGGCCUCUCUUUCAACUUUUAAUAAUAAGAUUUGCUGUGGGAAGGAAAUCUG